AUGCAUACUAGAAAUAACUUAUUGAUUCUUUUUCCUGGUGCUGUUUCCUGGUGUGGAAAACUGAAUGCUAUAGCUUGUCCUUCUGAAACGUGUGCAAGAAUUCCAAGCUCAACCGGAAAUCCACCAUUUUGGAUCCCUAUACAUAUUGUGAUCCCAGAGAGGCCGACUGAAUGUGCAGUAUUCAAUGUCAUUGCAGAUUCUCCUCGUGAUUCUGUCCAGUUCAUUGAAUGGUCCCCCACCUGCUGUCCCCAUGCAUCAUUGAUAGCAAAUUUCCAUGGGAGAGUAACUAUUUGGACUCAACCUUCUCAAUAUAGGUGGCUUUCAUCUAAACCAAGUGCUCCUGCCAAUUCAAGGUCAACAUUUGAAGAAAAGUUUCUUUCACGACAAUGUCAAACUUCAGCUAGAUAGCCCAAUUUUCUUUGUGUCUGUUCUGUGUUCUCAUCAGGAUCGGUUCAACUUCAUUGGUCCCAGUGGCCUCCUCAGAAUGCAACAACACCCAAAUGGUUUUGCACUAGUAAAGGACCAUUGGGUUGUGGCCCCUGUGGCAUUAUGGCCGGUGAUGCUAUCAUUACAGACAGUGGUACCAUGCUUGUGACAGGUGUGCCAAUUGUUAAUCCAUCCACCAUUGUUGUUUGGGAGGUUAUGCCUGGGCCUGGUAAUGGUUUCCAAGUAAUUCCAGACAAACCAAAACCUCGGUGAUUCUAUACCACUUAACUGUUCACCGGUUUCAAAUUUUUCGGCAUAUGUGAGUCCUGAAACUGCAGCUCAAUCUGCUGCAACCACUACAUGGGGUUCUGGUGUAACAGCAGUAGCCUUUGAUCCAACUUGUGGUGGUUCCGUGAUAGCUGUUGUGAUAGUUGAGGGACAGUACAUGUCCCCUUAUGAUCCAGAUGAGGGCCCAUCAAUCACGGGGUGGAGAGUGCAACGCUGGGAAUCAUCUUUACAGCAUGAUGUCCUCCAUCCAAUAUUUGGGAAUCCUACUUCCAGUAUGGGUGGACAGCCUCCUAUGCAAACUGUUUGGCAGACCAAAGUGGAGCUGAGCAUUCCACCAACAAAUGAUUUCAAAAAUCAUCAAGCUCCUGCAGUUGGAAUGAACACAGAUAUGCAAAAGGUAUCCGAUUUUGGUUUUGAUAAGUCAAAAAGGUUUGAUUUUUAUCCUUUUGAUCUUCCAAGUGAUGUUAGGACACUUGCAAGAAUUUUAUAAUCUGCUCAUGGUGGGGAAAUUGCCAUUGCUUUUCUUCGGGGAGAAGUCCACAUCUUUUCUGGUCCAAAUUUUGCACCUGUAGACAACUAUCAGAUUAGUGUUGGAUCUGCAAUUGCUGCUCCUGCUUUUUCUUCAACAAGCUGCUGUUCAGCAUCUGUUUGGCAUGACACAAGCAAGGAUCAGACAAUUUUGAAAAUUAUCCGGGUUCUUCCUCAUGCUAUUCCGACUAGUCAAGUAAAGGCCAACUCAUCAAACUGGGAACGUGCAAUUGCUGAAAGGUUUUGGUGGAGCCUUUUGGUUGGAGUUAAUUGGUGGGAUGCUGUGGGCUGUACACAGAGUGCUGCUGAGGAUGGUAUUGUUUCACUCAACAGUGUUAUUGCAGUCUUGGAUGCAGAUUUCCAUUCUCUUCCUUCUGCUCAGCACAGACAACAUUAUUGUCCUAUCCUUAGUCAACUAGUGCCUGCGUCAAAAGGAGGUGAAGAACCAUCUCCAGGGCGUUCGAGAAUUGGUACUGGAAAUGCUGGCCAAGGAUAUACAUAUGGAGAGAGAUUAACUGUUAACUUAUGGUCUUACUACACUGGUAAUGCUGGCUUGCAACACCCAUUGCCAGUUUCUCAGGUGGGGAGUAAUAACAUUCAGGUUCGGCUGCAUUAUAUUGAUGGGAACUACACUGUACUGCCCGAGGUUGUGGAAGCAGCCCUUGGCCCCCAUAUGCAGAUGGCUAUGCAGAACAUGCCCCGUCCUAGAGGUGCUGAUGCUGCUGGUCUUCUACUAUGUGAGCUAGAACUCCAUCCUCCAGCCGAAGAGUGGCAUAGACGGAAUAUGUUUGGUGGACCUUGGUCUGAUCCAGAUGUUUUGGAUUCUGCAAAUGAUGCACUAAAACUUGUUAGUUUAAAUCCUCUUGAUUCCAGCUCAUUGGAAAAUUGUGAUGUCUACUAUGGAGCCAAUGGCUUAUGGCCAAGGAAGCGCAGGAUGUCUGAACGAGAUGCAGCUUUUGGGUUGAACACUUAUGUGGGCCUGGGAGCAUACCUUGGUAUAAUGGGAUCUCGAAGAGAUGCUGUUACUGCAUUGUGGAAAACUGGCCUUGAAGGGAUCUGGUACAAGUGUAUGAGAUGUCUACAGCAGACUUGUGCUUUUGCCUCACCAGCUUCCACUAAUCUUCCUAGUCAAAAUGACCGGGAGAUUUGGUGGAUCAGCAGCUGGGCUUAUGGCUGUCCAAUGUGUGGUGGAACAUGGGUUCGAGUUGUACAGCUGGCUUCAAUACAAAAUUGUCAUUUUAGUUUCUCAUUUGGUGAGGGAAGAAUUGAUUGUAUUUUAUCUACAGAAACUGAAGGUAGAUGAAAUACUGGAUGGAAUGGAAUUGUACAGGAGAAGAGACAUGUAGAUUACCUGACAGGCUCUUUAUCAGUAUGUUGUCAUUAACAGUGACUAAACAACCUUGGAUUCGAGUAUUAUUCUACUGGUCACUUUGUAAAGUUCCAAGAAUUAUCAAGUAAUUUACCUAGAUCUCAAUUUUUUUGGGAAUUAUGAUCAUGUGAUUCGUGUCACACCGCCAAAAUUAGGUAUUAUCCUUGUAAUGUAUGUAGUUGCUCCUUCCAAAUAUAUGGUUCAGGAUUUUUAACCCUUAAAAUUGACUAGAGUGCACCAUAUCAUGCACAGCAUAUGAUGAUAUCAUGCAAGGCAUAUUAAUUUUCCUUUUACCCAUCACAAGUCAGUUGGAUGACCAUUUGGUGAUAUCAUGCAAAGCAUAUGGUGAUAUAUGGUAGGUAUCAUUAAAAGCUUAUGGGUUGAUAGUUAGGCUUCAUAUAUGCAUAACUUAUGCUAAAGAUCAGUUUUAUCACAUAACGAAGUUAUUUUGCUUAUUAAAAAAAAAAUUACAUGGCUGGUGUAAAAAAUACCUUGUGCAUCAUUGUUGAGCGUUUUGGAACCUAGUAUAUGGGUAAGACUAGAUAAUGUCUAGAAGCAGAUCAUUAUUUCCUUCCACAAUAGAGCGAAACUUACCAAUGACAUUUGAAAUAUAUCAUCAUUAUUUUUCUUCAGUGGCUGGUUGUUGAAAACAGAUCAAAAUCGUGUAUGUAUCAGAGAAGGCAGAGCUAGUUGAAGGCAUGGAUGAAGAAUUGGUCACACUGAGAAUGAGAAGAAAUGAUUGAAGCCUUCACACAUAGGUGAGUGAUGAAAAUCUCAAAACUAUCCCAAAAACAAAGACCAAUGACAGGAGUAGGACCAAACAGUCAGAGGAUACUCUCCAACAAAUGGUAUCAGCCAUACCUGACAAGGUCCAAGUGAAGAAGGAUGAAGGUCCAGAUAUACUACCAAAAAUCUUGAUUAUUGCUAAAGGUCUAUGUCAAUUUUUUUUCUAUUUUUCGUUGUAAUUUUAAUUAAAUAAAGUUUGUGCCUUUUCCACCUUUGGUAUACUAUAUGUAUUGAACUCGUUUUCAAUGGAGGGACUUUUGACAUUUUGAGAAAAUAAGUGUGAGGCAACCGUGACUUAUCUUCCAUUGCUGGAAGUGGCAUCCUCCAAAUUUUGUGACCUGUGCCAAACGAUUCGCUCCUAGUAUGGAUCACAUCAGAAGACAAGGAGAGAAUGCAUGUGGUGGGGAUUACUUUCUUGUGGGGCCCAAAAGGUUGAAGUUGACUGAGCAUGACAAGCUGUUGAAUAAGUUUUUAGGCACAGGGGAGCUCUGGUGUCUCUGUUGGGAAGGGAUUAUCUUGGGGAAUGUGUUUGCUGUGAUGGAGGAAUUAGUGUCUAGGAGGAAAUUGCUCAAGAAGUAUGUCUCCAACUUGGAUUUGGAGAAGCUGGUACUUUUGUAAUCUAUGAUCUUUGUGCUGCUUCUUAUUUUAAUCUAUUCAAGUCCAAUCCAAAGGUUGAAUUUA